AGACAAAAUGAGAAAAAAAAUCCAGAAAAUCACAUUGUAGGAUUUUUAAUUAAUUUAUUUGCAAAUUAUGGUGGAAAAUAAGUAUUUGGUCACCUACAAACAAGCAAGAUUUCUGGCUCUCACAGACCUGUAACUUCUUCUUUAAGAGGCUCCUCUGUCCUCCACUCGUUACCUGUAUUAAUGGCACCUGUUUGAACUUGUUAUCAGUUUAAAAGACACCUGUCCACAACCUCAAACAGUCACACUCCAAACUCCACUAUGGCCAAGACCAAAGAGCUGUCAAAGGACACCAGAAACAAAAUUGUAGACCUGCACCAGGCUGGGAAGACUGAAUCUGCAAUAGGUAAGCAGCUUGGUUUGAAGAAAUCAACUGUGGGAGCAAUUAUUAGGAAAUGGAAGACAUACAAGACCACUGAUAAUCUCCCUCGAUCUGGGGCUCCACGCAAGAUCUCGCCCCGUGGGGUCAAAAUGAUCACAAGAACGGUGAGCAAAAAUCCCAGAAUUACAAGGGGGGACCUAGUGAAUGACCUGCAGAGAGCUGGGACCAAAGUAACAAAGCCUACCAUCAGUAACACACUACGCCGCAAGGGACUCAAAUCCUGCAGUGCCAGACGUGUCCCCCUACUUAAGCCAGUACAUGUCCAGGCCCGUCUGAAGUUUGCUAGAGAGCAUUUGGAUGAUCCAGAAGAAGAUUGGGAGAAUGUCAUAUGGUCAGAUGAAACCAAAAUAUAACUUUUUGGUAAAAACUCAACUCGUCGUGUUUGGAGGACAAAGAAUGCUGAGUUGCAUCCAAAGAACACCAUACCUACUGUGAAGCAUGGAGGUGGAAACAUCAUGCUUUGGGGCUGUUUUUCUGCCAGGACGACUGAUCCGUAUAAAGGAAAGAAUGAAUGGGGCCAUGUAUCGUGAGAUUUUGAGUGAAAACCUCCUUCCAUCAGCAAGGGCAUUGAAGAUGAAACGUGGCUGGGUCUUUCAGCAUGACAAUGAUCCCAAACACACCGCCCGGGCAAUGAAGGAGUGGCUUCGUAAGAAGCAUUUCAAGGUCCUGGAGUGGCCUAGCCAGUCUCCAGAUCUCAACCCCAUAGAAAAUCUUUGGAGGGAGUUGAAAGUCCGUGUUACCCAGCAACAGCCACAAAACAUCACUGCUCUAGAGGAGAUCUGCAUGGAGGAAUGGGCCAAAAUACCAGCAACAGUGUGUGAAAACCUUGUGAAGACUUACAGAAAACGUUUGACCUCUGUCAUUGCCAACAAAGAGUAUAUAACAAAGUAUUGAGAAACUUUUGUUAUUGACCAAAUACUUAUUUUCCACCAUAAUUUGCAAAUAAAUUCAUUAAAAAUCCUACAAUGUGAUUUUCUGGAUUUUUUUUCUCAUUUUGUCUGUCAUAGUUGAAGUGUACCUAUGAUGAAAAUUACAGGCCUCUCACAUCUUUUUAAGUGGGAGAACUUGCACAAUUGGUGGCUGACUAAAUACUUUUUUGCCCCACUGUAUAACAUACCAUAGUUUAAAAACAUCAGUGGCAGCAAUACUAUGGUAUAGUGCAAAUGUAGUAGAUAAAACAAGCCAUACAUGUUGGAAGUGUGAAACUAUGCUGUCUUAUAAGCACAGUGAUCAGAAUAAUGUAAAGAUAUUUACCUGCCUGACUACCACCCCCACUUACCUACAGACUGGAGCAGAGGAAUUACACUAGUAUUAAACACUAUACAGGCUAUUACAGUGGUGUUUACCUGUCAAUCAUCUAAGGGAAGUUGCCUAGGGGAGAAGUUACACGGAAAUGCCUUAUCACAUUUCAAUCACAUUCUGACAGCAAAAUACAGUGCAUUUGGAAAGCAUUCAGACUGUUUGACUCUUUACACAUUGUGUUACGUUACUGCUAUAAUGUUUCAGGUAAGUCCCAGAUGCAGGAACGUCGAACUAACAACAGUUUAUCCGACAGGUCAAGGGUAGGCAGGGGACAGUAAUCCGGACAGGUGGGUUAAUGGUACAGGACGGCAGGCAGACUCAGGGAAGGCAGAGUUCAGUAAUCCAGAUAGGAGGGUUAAAGGUAGAGGACGGCAAGCAGAAUCAGGGUAGGCAGAGUUCAGUGAUCCAGAUAGGUGGGUUAAAGGUAGAGGACGGCAGGCAGACUCAGGGUAGGCAGAGGUCAGUAAUCCAGAUAGGUGGGGUACAGGUACAGGACGGCAGGCAGGCUCAGGGUAGGCAGAGUUCAGUUAUCCAGAUAGGUGGGUUAAAGGUACAGGACGGCAGGCAGGCUCAGGGUAGGCAGAGUUCAGUUAUCCAGAUAGGUGGGAUAAAGGUACAGGACGACAGGCAGGCUCAGGGUAGGCAGAGUUCAGUUAUCCAGAUAGGUGGGUUAAAGGUAGAGGACGGCAGGCAGGCUCAGGGCAGGCAGAAAAAAACGGGAAAACAGGAACAAUCGAGAGACAGGAACAGAGGGAAAAACACUGGUAGGCUUGACGAAACAAAAC
ensembl:lncRNA